CUUCUUUUAAAUAUAGUCUCCUUUUUUACUGUGUUGAUUCGCUUUAUGUAUUUAAAUGUUUCUAUCAUAUCCCCCCUGUCUCGUCUUUCCUCCAAGCUAUACAUGUUAAGAUCCUUUAACCUUUCCUGGUAAGUUUUAUCCCGUAAUCCAUGAACCAGUUUAGUAGCUGUGGCAGAAGCAGCCACAAGAGACUGUACCUGCAUUAUUAUUGCGUUGUAUUUGUCCUAAUAAUCGCUGAAUACCUGGUAUGCGAACCGCU